rnacentral:rRNA from 1 species
CAUAUACAGCGAAACUGCGAAUGGCUCAUAAAUCAGUUAUCGUUUAUUUGAUAGUACCUUACUACUGGAUAACCCAGGUAAUCUAGGCUAAUACAUGCUAAAAACCCCGACUCACGAAGGGGUGUAUUUAUUAGAUUAAAAACCAAUGCCCUUCGGGGCUCUUUGGUGAAUCAUGAUAACUUCUCGAAUCGCAUGGCCUUGCGCCGGGCGAUGGUUCAUUCAAAUUUCUGCCCUAUCAACUUUCGAUGGCAGGGUCUUGGCCUGCCAUGGUUACAACGGGUAACGGAGGGUUAGGGCUCGACCCCGGAGAAGGAGCCUGAGAAACGGCUACUACAUCCAAGGAAGGCAGCAGGCGCGCAAAUUACCCAAUCCCGAUACGGGGAGGUAGUGACAAUAAAUACUGAUACAGGGCUCUUUUGGGUCUUGUAAUUGGAAUGAGUACAAUUUAAAUCCCUUAACGAGGAACAAUUGGAGGGCAAGUCUGGUGCCAGCAGCCGCGGUAAUUCCAGCUCCAAUAGCGUAUAUUAAAGUUGUUGCAGUUAAAAAGCUCGUAGUUGAACCUUGGGCCUGGCUGGCCGGUCCGCCUCACCGCGUGCACUGGUUCGGCCGGGUCUUUCCCUCUGGGGAGCCGCAUGCUCUUUACUGAGUGUGUCGGGGAACCAGGACUUUUACUGUGAAAAAAUUAGAGUGUUCAAAGCAGGCCUAUGCUCGAAUACAUUAGCAUGGAAUAAUAAAAUAGGACGUGUGGUUCUAUUUUGUUGGUUUCUAGGACCGCCGUAAUGAUUAAUAGGGACAGUCGGGGGCAUCAGUAUUCAAUUGUCAGAGGUGAAAUUCUUGGAUUUAUUGAAGACUAACUACUGCGAAAGCAUUUGCCAAGGAUGUUUUCAUUAAUCAGGAACGAAAGUUAGGGGAUCGAAGACGAUCAGAUACCGUCGUAGUCUUAACCAUAAACUAUGCCGACUAGGGAUCGGACCAUGUUAUUAUUUGACUGGUUCGGCACCUUACGAGAAAUCAAAGUCUUUGGGUCUGGGGGAGAGCCCC